rnacentral:rRNA from 1 species
UACGAAGGGGGCAAGCGUUACUCGGAAUUACUGGGCGUAAAGCGUGCGUAGGUGGUUUGUUAAGUCUGCUGUGAAAGCCCCGGGCUCAACCUGGGAAUGGCAGUGGAUACUGGCAAGCUAGAGUGCGGUAGAGGGGUGUGGAAUUCCCGGUGUAGCGGUGAAAUGCGUAGAGAUCGGGAGGAACACCAGUGGCGAAGGCGGCACCCUGGACCAGCACUGACACUGAGGCACGAAAGCGUGGGGAGCAAACAGG